rnacentral:rRNA from 1 species
ACUCAAAGGAAUAGACGGGGACCCGCACAACCGGUGGAGCGUGUGGUUCAAUUCGAGACAAAACGAAAAACCUCACCAAGGUUUGACAUGUAACCGUACAUUUUUCUAGAAAUAGAGAGAAAUCCGCAAGGAUGGUUACACAGGUGCUGCAUGGCUGUCAUCAGUUCGUGCCGUGAGGUGUUCCCUUAAGUGGGGAAACGAACGCAACCCGCGUCUAAUGUUGAAUAUAUCAUUAGAGACUGUCCCUUCUUUGUAAGCUUCAGUAAUCUGGAACUUAGAAAGAAGGGAAGGAAGGAGCGGAAGAUGUCAAGUCAGCAUGGCCCUUAUACCUUGGGCUACACACACACUACAAUGGCGAAAAACAAUGAGCAGCAAGCGCGCAAGUGCAAGCGAAUCUCUGAAAUUUCGUCUCAGUUCAGAUUGAGGUCUGCAACUUGACCUCAUGAAGUCGGAAUCGGUAGUAAUCGCAAAUCAGCAUGUUGCGGUGAAUACGUUCUCGGGUCUUGCACACACCGCCCGU